CUUCACCGAGCCCAGCCAGAGCGGAUGCUCCCGCGCCUCCCGCCCGUACGUCGCCGAAAACGCCUCCGCCUC
rnacentral:antisense_RNA from 1 species